rnacentral:rRNA from 1 species
GACGAACGCUGGCGGCGUGCCUAAUACAUGCAAGCCGAACGCUUCUUUCCUCCCGAGUGCUUGCACUCAAUUGGAAAGAGGAGUGGCGGACGGGUGAGUAACACGUGGGUAACCUACCCAUCAGAGGGGGAUAACACUUGGAAACAGGUGCUAAUACCGCAUAACAGUUUAUGCCGCAUGGCAUAAGAGUGAAAGGCGCUUUCGGGUGUCGCUGAUGGAUGGAGCCGCGGUGCAUUAGCUAGUUGGUGAGGUAACGGGUCAACAAGGCCACGAUGCAUAACCGACCUGAGAGGGUGAUCGGCCACACUGGGACUGAGAAACGGCCCAGACUCCUAAGGGAGGCAGCAGUAGGGAAUCUUCGGCAAUGGACGAAAGUCUGACCGAGCAACGCCGCGGGAGUGAAGAAGGGUUUCGGAUCGUAAAACUCUGUUGUUAGAGAAGAACAAGGACGUUAGUAACUGAGCGGCCCCUGACGGUAUCUAAACAGAAAGCCACGGCUAACUACGUGC